rnacentral:rRNA from 1 species
UACAGAGGUCUCAAGCGUUGUUCGGAUUCAUUGGGCGUAAAGGGUGCGUAGGCGGCGUGGUAAGUCGGGUGUGAAAUCUCGGAGCUUAACUCCGAAACUGCAUUCGAUACUGCCGUGCUUGAGGACUGGAGAGGAGACUGGAAUUUACGGUGUAGCGGUGAAAUGCGUAGAGAUCGGGAGGAAUACCAGUGGCGAAGGCGGCCUUCUGGACUGACACUGACGCUGAGGCGCGAAAGCCAGGGGAGCAAACGGG